rnacentral:lncRNA from 1 species
GUUUUAGUUUCCCUCUUUUCAAGGAAAGUUGAUGAUGCAGCAGGCUUAUACUACAGUGUGUCAGUGUGUUCAGGAAGCAAAAUGACACAAAAAUGCUUUAAAAUAUAAAAAUCAAUCUGAACUGCUUGACAAACACGUAGCAGAAUUCGAGAUUCUGAGAAUUGGACAGCUUACCACUCAAGCUUGGAUGAUAAGUAAGAACUUUAACCAUUGAGAAGUCUCCACAACCAAUAAUGAAAUAAUGACUUUGAAAACAUGAAUUAUCAAGUGUAGAAAGGCUUUAUUUUUAAAGAAGAGUGUGGUAUUCAUCAAGAUUGGGGAUAUGAGUUCUUCACUCAAGGUCACCUUUGCAGUGGGCACUCACUACCUGGGAUCUGGUGUUUUUCAGAUUCCUGAUCUGAGGAAAUAGUGUGAAGCCACAGGAAUGAAGCCAUGGAAACUAUUGUAAACAAAGGAAGAAGAACCACCAAGACUAAGCAACACUUGCACUCAACAGCAACGCUUUCAUGAAGAUUUCAUCCUUGUGCCUAUUUCUUCCAACUCUUUCCAGAGAACAAGAGGAUAGACAGAGGAUUGCCUGAUACACAGAGCCUAAUGCAGCAGCCAGCAGCAGCCAGAAGCCAGCAGCAGCAGGAAGGGGAGAAGGAGCAGCAGGCACAGCCUCUCUUAAGG